CAGUAGCCGCGGUAAUACGAAGGGGGCUAGCGUUGCUCGGAAUUACUGGGCGUAAAGGGAGCGUAGGCGGGUCGUUUAGUCAGAGGUGAAAUCCCGGGGCCCAACCUCGGAACUGCCUUUGAUACUGGCGACCUUGAGGAUGGGAGAGGUAAGCGGAACUCCGAGUGUAGAGGUGAAAUUCGUAGAUAUUCGGAAGAACACCAGUGGCGAAGGCGGCUUACUGGCCCAUUACUGACGCUGAGGCUCGAAAGCGUGGGGAGCAAACAGGAUUAGAUACCCCCGUAGUCCCUGUCUCUUAUAC
rnacentral:rRNA from 1 species